rnacentral:rRNA from 1 species
CAGUAGCCACGGUAAUACGUAGGUGGCAAGCGUUGUCCGGAAUUAUUGGGCGUAAAGGGCUCGCAGGCGGUUUCUUAAGUCUGAUGUGAAAGCCCCCGGCUCAACCGGGGAGGGUCAUUGGAAACUGGGAAGCUUGAGUGCAGAAGAGGAGAGUGGAAUUCCACGUGUAGCGGUGAAAUGCGUAGAGAUGUGGAGGAACACCAGUGGCGGAGGCGACUCUCUGGUCUGUAACUGACGCUGAGGAGCGAAAGCGUGGGGAGCGAACAGGAUUAGAUACCCCCGUAGUCCCUGUCUCUUAUAA